AUGGAGAAGGCGGCACCGACCGCCGUGGCAAGAAAGCGCGAAUCCGAUGGGAUCGCUGGCAGCUGGCCAAGGAAUCGGGCACGCGGUGGCAACUACGAUGGCAACUGGGUUGCCGAGGAUCCCAUCAGCCGCCUCCCCGACGCCAUCCUCGGUACCAUCAUCUCCCUUCUCCCCACCAAGGACGGCGCACGCACGCAGGCCCUCUCCCGCCGAUGGCACCACCUUUGGUGCUCCCCUCCCCUCCACCUUCAGGCUAAUAGCAGCCUCUUUAGCAGCCUUCGCUGGCGCCCCACCAUCAUCAACAGGAUCCUCUCCGACCACCCUGGCCCCGCCCGUCGCUUCCACUUCCCAUUCAUCCAGUUCACACCCGGCGACAUAGACAGCCGACGCACUGAGCUCGACGGCUGGUGCCAAUCCCGAGCCCUUGACGGACUCCAGGAGCUCAAUAUCUACUACGGGAGAUGGUCGAGAGAACCGCCUCAUAUUAGUUUCCUGCUGCCGACAUCUGCGCUCCGCUUUGCACCCACCCUCCUCGUGCUCAAAAUCGGCUCCUGCAAUUUCCCCAGCGAGAUCUCACCAUCGUUGAGUUUCCCCCUCCUCAAGCAGCUCAUCCUACGGUGCGUUUCCAUCUCAGAGGAUGUAUUCGACCAGGUGCUCUCUGGAUGCCGUGCCUUGGAGAGCCUUCAGUUGUGGGACAUUCUUACUGCGCGUCGCCUCCACAUUCGCUCACUAACUCUUAGGAGCAUUGGCUCCCGUGCUCGUAGUGCUUGCACACAAGAACUAGUCAUUGAGGAUGCUCCCUGCCUCGAAAGAUUUGUGUCACUUUAUCCUCCGGACAUAAGUUUUGAGACUAUCCGCGUAAUUGGUGCACCUAAACUGAAGAUAUUGGGCCUUUUUUCACCAUGUGUAUCCACACUCCAGAUUGCAACUCUAGUCGUCAAGGGAAUGUCCCCAGUCAGCUUGGCAAACUCAAUAUGCACUGUGAAGGUUCUGGCUCUCUACUCUUCUGGCUCUCAGUUGAAUGCAGUUCUAAACAUCCUCAGGUGCUUUCCCCGCUUGGAAAAGCUCUAUUUCACUUUGAAGAAACACCCAAAGAUGGAUAUGAAAAAUGUGCACCUGUGUGACCCACUAGAUCCAAUCGAAUGCCUCGCGAUCCAUCUAAAAAAAUUGGUGUUUGAAAAUUACAAAGGCCGUCACCAAGAUGCUGACUUUGCCAAAUUCUUUAUUUUGACUGCAAAAGUGCUGAAGGAAAUCAAAAUUUCAAGCCCUAAGGGCAACGAUAUUAAAUGGGUGGACGAUCAACACAAGCUGCUACAAGUGGAAGAUAGAGCUUCUCGAGAUGCUGAACCUGAAUUCAGAAGUGAGUUUAGCUGUUUGGGUAAAACCAAACAGAUUCAUGAUUUAUUGGAUGAUCCCUUCGACUGCUCGUGUUGUAGAAUUAAAUGCAAUGUUCUUUCAGGUGAAUCAUGUCCAUGA
rnacentral:rRNA from 1 species